UUCGUAGGCGGUGCGGCAAGUCGGGAGUGAAAUCUCUGGGCUUAACUCAGAGGCUGCUUCCGAAACUGCCGUGCUCGAGUGUGGGAGAGGCGCGUGGAAUUGCAGGUGUAGCGGUGAAAUGCGUAGAUAUCUGCAGGAACACCCGUGGCGAAAGCGGCGCGCUGGACCACAACUGACGCUGAGGAACGAAAGCUAGGGGAGCAAACAGGAUUAGAUACCCUGGUAGUCCUAGCCCUAAACGAUCAGGACUUGGGGUGCCUUCCGUCCGGAAGUCGUCCCGGAGCUAACGCGUUAAGUCCUGCACCUGGGGAGUACGGUCGCAAGACUGAA
rnacentral:rRNA from 1 species